GCGCCCUAAAGCUAUCCAAUUUCAACAGUUAAAAUGAGUAUUACCUAUCUUAGUAAUACAUAUUAAAAACCAUCAAAAAUAAAUAAGCAGCCUUAUUACAUUUAAAAGCCCAAAACCUCAAACGUAAUUAAAAGGAUGUCCAGUUCACCAGAAGAAAAUCAAACUUUCAGAACGGGUGGUCACUCCGAAUUCCCUCACAGCUCCAAGCCCACUAUGGUUGGGGAUUUCCUGCGUGGAUGAAAAUAAAAGGGGUGAGUUUGGGGAAACUCAGUGUGUAAGGAAAACCCAUUCAAAGCCCAAGUCAGCUCAAGCCCAUUGGGCCUAAGCCCAUUCAGGUAACAGUGGUACUGGGCCAGAGCCCUUUUCAAAUUACAAUAAACUGGGCCUUAGCCCCUUAUUCAGAUAACAGUAUGGCCCAUAAGCCCAUUUCAAAAUACAUGCAACAUCAGUAAACAUAUGCAAGCCCAUUUGGGUAACAGUGGUACUGGGCCAGAGCCCUUUUCAGAUUACAAUAAACUGGGCCUUAGCCCCUUAUUCAGAUAACAGUAUGACCCAUAGGCCCAUUUCAAAAUACAUGCAACAUCAGUAAACAUAUGCAAGCCCAUUUGGGGAGUGUGACAGCCCUAAAGUGACCCUAGUCAGAAAGCGGUUUUGGGACCGCUAAACCGAGUCACCAAAUUAUUUGAAUAUGAUAUUUAUUGUCUAAAAUAUGUGAAUAUGAAUGUGUGAAAGUUUUAAGCUUCGAUUUAGUCGAUUGCAUGUGAAUUCAGCUAAUAGGACUUAUGUGUGACACUUUUGAAAUGUGAUAGGUUAAUCUAUAGGAUCUAUUAGUGCAUGUAAUAAAAGGGUGGACUUGCAUGUCAAUUUCCCCCUUAAUUUAGUAGUGGCCGGCCAUGACAAGGAAGGAGGACAAAAUGUUAUGGGCAAAACAUGUCAUAAACAUGUUAUGUUAGUGAUUUAUGUUAGGAAAAAUAAAAUAAGGAGUAUGGGUAAUAAAAUAAUAAUGCAAAGGGAGGAGUGAUGAAAAAAAAAAUUGUCUCAUCCUUGUUUCCCCCCAUUGCCGUGAAUUGAAGAAAGAAAACAAAAAAAAAGUGUUCAUUCUUGAACAUCUUUGACCGAAUAGAGGAAAGAAAGGAAGGGAAAGAGCUUGGAGAAAAUCGGCUAUGGUGGUUUGCUAGACUAAGGUAUGUUUGAUGUUGUCCAUGAGAUUCAUGCAUGUUUUUAGUUGUUAGUUUGAGUUCUACCUAGCCCAUGGUUUAAAUCUUUGCUAUGUGAUGGAGAUGAUAUUCGGCCAUGGGUGUUGUCUUCUUGGUUGAUGUUUGAUGUUGUGGUGAUGAGGCAUGAAGAUGGGUUAAGUUUCGGCUAAGGAGGAUUUGUGAUUGAUGCCAUUUGCAUGCUAAAUGUGAAGCUUUGUAAUGAUACAUGUGGUGGUGGAUUUUCUUUUUAGCAUUCUUGAGUUAGGCCUUAAGUUCUUUGUGUAACCCAUGACCAAAAUUGAAUGGUAUGGUGUCUUGAUGCAUUCGGCCAUGGUAGAAAGUAGAUGAGAAAUGGUAGUAAGGUGAAGUGCAAAUGUUAGUAUUUGAUUUCUAAUGCAUAUAUGUGUAUGAGCCGAGUUUUGAAUUUGAAACAAAAUGGUAUGUAGUCAAUACAAGUAACCAUAUUUGUAGGAAGUAUUAAGCAUAUAUUGGCCUCAACAUAGACAUGCAUAUUCGGCCACAUUGGUGUUGCAUGUAUUCGGCUAGGGGCAAGCAUAUUGAUGCUUUUAUCUUGACUUAGACAAUCGGCUCAAGGAGAAUUUAUUAAGUGCUUAGUUAAUUGAUAUUAGGUCAAUGAUGUGUGUAUUCGGUCAUAAAAGUGCACAUGAGGAAAUGUUAGAUUAAUUGUAUUAAAUUGCUCAAUGUGAUUAAAAAUGCGUAUGACCAUUUUGUAUUUGAGUUAAAGGUGGCCAUAUGACCUAUCAAACUCCUUGUCAUAUUCGGCCAUAAGCUAGCAUAAUGAGACUUUAAUAAGUUAAAUUUGUUUGAAUUAGCUCAAGAGCUUAGAGGACCACAGUUGGACAAGGGAAAGGAAAAAGUGAUCGAAUAGCCACCGAAAUCGUUCGACCACAUCCGAGGUAAGUUUUAAGUGAUUAAACGUUGAGUAAAUUCAAUCAUAAUAGGACAUAAUGAGUUGAUUUAAUAAGAUAUGAUGUGGCCAUGAUAUGUCUUAAACUCAAAUGGUAAGUUCAUAAGUGUUUGGACUUGGAAAUUUAAGAGCAAAUUGUAAUAAUUUGCUUUGGACAGCAGCAGUAACGUGAUUUUAGAAAAUCACUAUAAAUUGUUGGUGUGGAAUUAUAGGCUGAAUAAAAUAUGUAAUCAAAUCUUAAUUAGUCUAGUUUCUUAUAAAAGAGACCUUGUGAGCAAAGAAAUUUCCUAUAAAGAGAUAUUUAAAGUUGUGUGAGACGGUGUCAGAAUGACUCCGAAAUCCCCUGUUCUAUUUUUAGAAAAUCAUUAUAAAUUGUACAAAAAUGGUUAUAAGAUAAAAUUUAUAUGCUUAGACUCCUUAAUGAGUAUAGUUUCAAAUGAAAUCAAAUACAGCACAUUUUGAACUCUGUAAAAUGAGAAAUUUGAUUCGUAGUGAAGAGUGGUCAGAUUAGUCAAACAGUGAAAAAGGGGAUACUUUAAGAAAAAUCUGGUAUUGAUUGGCCUAAUCAAAAAUUAUGAAAAUUUUAUGGAUGGAAGAUAUAUGAGUCUAUAUUCAUGGAAAAUUAACGGAAAUUGAUUUGGAGUUUUUUAGCUCUAGUUAUAAAUAAUUUAGUGACUAUUGCUCAGGAAAAACAGCUUGUGCUGAAUUUGAGAUUAUGUUGUAAACCUUGAUAAAACUUGUUUUAGUUGCUCAUAAGCUAUUGAUUAAACCCAUACGUGAUUUCUAAAUUGUGAUAUUGGAAAAUGAUAGAUGUAGAUUCAGCCAAGACAAAGUGUAUACGUGAAAGUAUAUGUGGUAUGUAAAGUAUAUUUGGAUAAUUGUGAUGUGAAUACAUGAAAAUUUAUAUUUUGAUUUAGGAUUUAAUAUGAUGAAUGUGAACAUGCGUAUGUGUGAUAAGGCCGAAUGGCCAAUGUGAUGAAUGUGAACCUGUAUAUAUAUGCGUGAUAAGGCCGAAUGGCCAAUGUGAUGAAUGUGAACCCGUAUAUAUAUGUGUGAUAAGGCCGAAUGGCCAAUGUGAUGAAUGUGAACAUGCGUAUGUGUGAUAAGGCCGAAUGGCCAAUGUGAUGAAUGUGAACCUGUAUAUAUAUGCGUGAUAAGGCCGAAUGGCCAAUGUGAUGAAUGUGAACAUGCGUAUGUGUGAUAAGGCCGAAUGGCCAAUGUGAUGAAUGUGAACCUGUAUAUAUAUGCGUGAUAAGGCCGAAUGGCCAAUGUGAUGAAUGUGAACAUGCGUAUGUGUGAUAAGGCCGAAUGGCCAAUGUGAUGAAUGUGAACCCGUAUAUAUAUGUGUGAUAAGGCCGAAUGGCCAAUGUGAUGAAUGUGAACAUGCGUAUGUGUGAUAAGGCCGAAUGGCCAAUGUGAUGAAUGUGAACCCGUAUAUAUAUGUGUGAUAAGGCCGAAUGGCCAAUGUGAUGAAUGUGAACAUGCGUAUGUGUGAUAAGGCCGAAUGGCCAAUGUGAUGAAUGUGAACCUGUAUAUAUAUGCGUGAUAAGGCCGAAUGGCCAAUGUGAUGAAUGUGAACAUGCAUAUAUGAGAUAAGGUCGAAUGGCCAAUGUGAUGAUGUCAACGUGUAUAUAUAUAUUGUGGCCAAAUGACAAACGGCGAAAGGUGUGUAUUAUUAGAUAUUUGAUGAGGCAAAUGAAUUACAAAUAUGACAGUCGAUGUGAAUGUUGUAACGUGUGAUUAAAUAUACAUGAAACUUGGAAAUAUAUUCCGGGUAAGACCCGAUGACUACGUGUGGAGAUUAUAUCCGGGUAAGACCCGAUGACUACGUGUGGAGAUUAUGUCCGGGUAAGACCCGAUGACUACGUGUGGAGAUUUUGUCCGGGUAAGACCCGAUAACUUUGUGUGGAGAUUUCGUCUGAGCUAAAGGUCUCGCCGAUAAUCCGAGUAGAGGUUAAAGCUAUAAGACUUCGUAAUAAGAAUUGCUUAUAAAUAUAUUCAAUGCGAAAGGUUAAACAGGUAUGUACUCCAAGUUUAUAUGUGAGGUUGAUUCGAACUAAAUCAUAAGGUAGUUAUGUGAUGCAUACGAGAGCAAUCUAUGAGACUAUUCCUAUGAUUAUGUGACAUCGGAUCAGUGUGAGAGGUUAUGUGAAAUCAUACAAUAUAUCUAUGUCACAUGAGCUCACUUUUAUGUGAAAGUUUAUCUGCCUAUUGUAUAUGAUGAGAUGUGCAUAUUCGAUAAAGGGAUGGUAUGCCCGAAGGAAGAGUGAAAUAAAAAUACGAACAACUAUGUUAUAAUUUGAUUGUUAUCUAUUGACAAUGCUUAAAACUUACUAAGCAUCGUAAUGCUUACUCCGUUUGCUUUGUUUUCUCUGUUUUAUAGAUCUCAUUGUGAAGCUACAGGCUCGGGGAUCGUCAGCAACUAGUCACACUAUCACUAUCCACUGCUUGUUACUGUUAUGUUUAGAAUUAUUUUAUGGCAUGUAUAGAAUAGACUAGUGGUGGAAGAAUAUUUUUGGUUAAUGUAUAUAAGCCAUGCGAAAAUGGCAUCUUUUGAACGUUUACUUAGAGAAGUUUAAAUUUUAUCCCUGGCUGUGCUUAGUACUUAUUUAAAUGAAUGAUCUUUAUUUCAAGAAAAAGUUCAAAAUUUUACUGUUCUGACAUGAGUUACAAGUCCGGUAAUGCCCCUUACCUAUUCUGGCGACGGUUACGGGAUAGGGGUGUUACAGGGAGACUACUCAACCCACCAACCACUACACUCCACCCGUACCAGCCAUACACUCCAUGUGGGGAAUAGCUCAACCCACCCAGCCCAACACUCCACAGUUGCAGCCUUGCUGCUCAGUUAACAGUAAAUUGAGGCAAAGCCUCCAGUACGUGGACAAGCCACUUUCAGUACUUCCUCCGUCAAUAUCCCAAUCCCAUGCAUCAGAUAAUAACAACAUGGCAUGCAGUAAAUAACAAUAGUCAAACAUGCAUUUAGGUCAAUUUAACCCUAGGGGUAUUUCGGUAAUUUAUCUACUAGGGGUAAAACUGUAAAUUUUCCACUUUUAAAGGUAUUUCAGUAAUUUAUCUAUUUUAGAGUUUUUCAUGCAUAUUCCUACUUUUCACGUACUAACAGAAUCACGUACUGAGGUUUCUUACCGAAUUGGGCCCGUUGGCCCAUCAUUCCAAUUUUGGCCCAUUAAGCCCAAAAAUAUCGAGGGCACAGAAAUCAUGCACUUUGCAGUCCAAAUUUUGCAGCUUACCAAAAACAUUAAUCGAUUUACCUCACGAGCAUUCGCACACUAGCAAAUUUACAAAAUACCGGUUUUCGGCAUUUUGACUUUUUCCGAUCCAGACUAAGAAAGAGGGUGUUAGUUACACACCUGUUUGCGACGAUAUGCUGACGAAAUCCACACAUGAACCGCCUACAAUUGGAUUACUAACACGUUAAUCUAACUAUUCAAAUACAAACUACGUAUUAACCCCUUACAAUAUUCGGCCAACCACACCUACAGAUCAUAGUAAGCUUAUAAGAAAUCAAUAAGCAACUCAUUAACAAAUUUUUGUCAAUGUUUACCACAUAAUCAUAAUUUCACUGCAAGCUGUCUUCCUGAGCAACAGUCACUAAAUUAUUUAUAACUGGAGCUACGAAACUCCAAAUCAAGUUCUGUUAAUUUUCCCUGAAAAUAUACUCAUAUAUCUUCUAUCCAUAAAAUUUUUAUAAUUUUUGGUUUAGCCAAUCAAUACCAGAUUUUUCUCAAACUUUCCCAUGUUUUACUGUUUGACUAAUCUGAUGACUCUUCAUUACGAAUCAAAUUUCUCAUUGUACAGAAUUCAAAAUAUGUUCUCGUUUAUUCCAUUUGAAACUAGACUCAUUAAGCUUUAAUUACAUAAUUUAUUCAGCUUCUAAUUCAUCUCCCACAAUUUAUGGUGAUUUUCCAAAGUCACGUUAUUGCUGCUGUCCCAAGCAGAUUUAUUACCAAAUCACUCUUUCACACAUACCUUGCAUGCAUGUUAUUUAAACAUGUAUAUCACCAAUCAAUCAUCACAUAUCUAUGAUUUUACUUAAGAAUAAUCUCCAUUUCAUCAUUUUAAAGCACAACAUGUUAGCUGAUUUUUUUCCCUUUAACGUCUAAGGCACAUGCAUGCUCAUUUGUUUGGCUCAACUUCACCUAUCUUCCAUUUUUUUUUAUCAAAAGAACAUGAAACAACAACCAUUUUUUUCAUUUUAAUUCAUGACUAAAUGCUCACAACACAACUAAAAACCAAAAUAUGCUUCAAGAGUUAAGGUAGCAUCAAGAUGAACUCAUGAACCUCAAAAUAAGAAGCAAGGUACCAAGAACUUACCUUCAAUUUUCCUCCUCCUAAUGACCGAAUACUCAAGAGCUUUCUCCUCUCCUUUCUCUUCUCUAAUUUUCAGCUAUGAUGAACAAAGAUGGACAAAACUUUGUUCUUUU
rnacentral:lncRNA from 1 species